UACAGGAGGAAACAACAGUAACAUAACUAGAUGAAGAAGACAAAGAACUCAUCAAAUCAAUCACUUUCAGAAACUUAGAAGAUUAUGUUAAACAGAUCGAAGACGAUGAUGAUGAUGAUGAAGAUUUUUAUAUACCAGGACAAUCAAGUGUCACGUGAAAGCUACUUGUCUCUUUGUAUUGUGUUUUUAAAAAAAAAUUAUGUUUCUAUUUCCUAUGGUCUUAAGUAUGAAAAGUAGAAAGAUCGUUGUAUAGCAUUACCUUGAAUUUACUUGAGUCAACAAAGUGGGUAUGUGUACAUAUAAUUGACAAGUCUAGGCCCAUCCAAGUUGUAGGGCUCAUGAUGCAAAAUUUUGUUUCUAAUAGGAUUGCAUCAAUGGCAAUUAGUAUUUCCAAGUUGUAAGAUGAUUGAGAAAAAACACAUAGAUCUAUGUUGUUGAUAGCUUUAGCAAUUCUCAAAUAUGUGUUCCUGAAACAUCUGCAUUGCAGCUAGGAUAUGCUAUUCUCAUAAACCGCUCACCUAAAAAUAAGAGCUCUCUAUUGCUUAAUGCAGAUAAAUAGAUAAUCUUGCUAUGCAUGGUUGGAGCCAAUCUGUUAAUUUUUUAUAUCUGGAGGACAGUAGUGGAUAAAAAUGCCAAUAAUGUGGAUCAUUGUCAUAUGCUUCUAUCGAAAUUGACUUAUAAUAAGGACUGUGGAAAGGAAGUGUUGAGCAUAAAAUGGCGACCUACAAUAGUGGUAAUUUCUUCUUCUUAUUGUGGGUGAUAUGCCUUUUCUUUUCUUAUGAACCUACCGUAGCGGUAAUGCGAGGAGCAUGUAUGCACAAAUUAUAUCACUCUUUAUAUUGCAUCUUUAGUUUAGUUCUCACAUUUUUUUAUCAGAUUAAGUGAAAGCUAGAUGAUGUUGCACCUUCAAGUGCCUGCGAUUGAUAUGCGUCCACUGAAUCAACAAAAUUUCAAUUGAUAUUGUAGCCGAUGUCGUGGCAAGUCUUGACAACACUUUCAUAUAAUCAAUAUUGUAAUGUUUGACCAAGUGCAGCUCCAUUUACCUUCUAUGGUCGUAAUUAUGUUUUUGAAUCAUGAUCCAGUUUAUGAGAUAUUAGAAGAAAAAAAUCAUAGGUGGUUGUGUCAGAGGCCUUGGGAGAGGUGCCAUGUGUACACGUUGUGAAGGCAUAUUUAUCCCCAAGGUGUUUUGGUGAUUGAUGACAAUGCUUUUGCGGACUAAUCGUGUGCAUUGAGAUUUUCAGAUAUUCAUCCUUUGGCACGAGACGAUUCCCUUCCCUCGGUGUUUUAUUCAAGACGGUGCAGCC